rnacentral:sRNA from 1 species
GCAUGCUCAAGCUCGGCCUCAACAUCGACGACGACGACGCCGCCGCGGCCGACGACGACGCUGACAUGCCCGCGCUCGAUGACGCCGCCGCCGAGGAGAGCAAGAUGGAGGAGGUGGACUGAAUUAAAUAAGUACUCGCUGCCAUGUCGAAAUGCAUCAUGGUGCCAUGGUUGGGUGUGUCUGCGCUGCACUUCAACAGUGUGUGGUCGUGUUUGCGUCGUGUCGCCAGUGUUAGACAUGAGUCUUACGUAAGUAUAUGUCGCCAGUGUUAGUAUGUUGCAUUUGCGUUACUCAUGCGUACAUCUUUCUAAGCCAUCGUUGAGAAAGUAGUAGUAUCAGUAUUAAAAAAUGAUCGAAUUCCUAUGUCUGAAACUG